GUUUUAAUAAUUUAAUAUAAAAUAUUGGUCUUGUAAACCAAAAAUAAGGAAUUCUUUUAAAACU
rnacentral:tRNA from 1 species